rnacentral:tRNA from 3 species
GCCGCCGUAGUCUAGCGGCUAGGAUAGGGAGGCCCCCUAAGGGUGGGCUGUGGCCCCAUUGACCCGGGUUCAAAUCCCGGCGGCGGCC